UACGUAGGUGGCGAGCGUUGUCCGGAUUUACUGGGCGUAAAGGGAGCGUAGGCGGACUUUUAAGUGAGAUGUGAAAUACUCGGGCUCAACUUGAGUGCUGCAUUUCAAACUGGAAGUCUAGAGUGCAGGAGAGGAGAAUGGAAUUCCUAGUGUAGCGGUGAAAUGCGUAGAGACUAGGAAGAACACCAGUGGCGAAGGCGGUUCUCUGGACUGUAACUGACGCUGAGGCUCGAAAGCGUGGGGAGCAAACAGG
rnacentral:rRNA from 1 species